rnacentral:rRNA from 1 species
AUUGAACGCUGGCGGCAGGCCUAACACAUGCAAGUCGAGCGAGCGGCGGACGGGUGAGUAAUGUCUGGGAAACUGCCUGAUGGAGGGGGAUAACUACUGGAAACGGUAGCUAAUACCACAUUUUAUCAGAUGUGCCCAGAUAGGAUUAGCUAGUAGGUGGGGUCACGGCUCACCUAGGCGACGAGCCCUAGCUGUUCUUAGAGGAUGACCAGCCACACUGGGACUGAGACACGGUCCAGACGCCUACGGGAGGCAGCAGUGGGGAAUAUUGCACAAUGGGCGCAAGCCUGAGACAGCCAUGCCGCGUGUUUGAAGAAGGCCUUAGGGUUGUAAAGCACUGUCAGCGGGGAGGCGUUACCCUCAGAAGAAGCACCGGCUAACUCCGUGCCAGCAGCCGCGGUAAUUC